rnacentral:lncRNA from 1 species
ACAAAGGGCGGAAGCGGAAGCCGGAGUCCGGCACGGAAUGCCUCCUGAUACACGCAAAAACGACCGGGUGGGGGAGUGCUAGCCCGGUCGGAGGGGCCAAGAAGCUCCAGAUCGAACUCCGGAGGAACUCCGUACUGAACCCUUAUCAGCAGGAGUUCAUCUGGAGUCAGAGAGCAGGGAAUGGUGCUCGACGCAAAAACUGGGCGAAGCCCAGUCCCAGAUAUGGGUUCGUCUACAGAAUGAGGAUCCUGGGGGGCUGAGGCGGAAGAACUCCCUGAACCACUAGGGGCGGAGAUGCUGGAAGACAUUUCGAACGACUCCAGAUGAAAGCCCUAAAGAUCCCAGAGAAAUCGGAUGAGACAAAGGAUGAGAGGUUGCGGG